rnacentral:rRNA from 1 species
GAUUCGAACGCUGGCGGCAUGCUUUACACAUGCAAGUCGAACGGCAGCGCGGGGCAACCUGGCGGCGAGUGGCGAACGGGUGAGUAAUAUAUCGGAACGUACCCAAGAGUGGGGGAUAACGUAGCGAAAGUUACGCUAAUACCGCAUACGAUCUAAGGAUGAAAGCAGGGGACCGCAAGGCCUUGUGCUCCUGGAGCGGCCGAUAUCUGAUUAGCUAGUUGGUAGGGUAAAGGCCUACCAAGGCUACGAUCAGUAGCUGGUCUGAGAGGACGACCAGCCACACUGGAACUGAGACACGGUCCAGACUCCUACGGGAGGCAGCAGUGGGGAAUUUUGGACAAUGGGCGCAAGCCUGAUCCAGCAAUGCCGCGUGAGUGAAGAAGGCCUUCGGGUUGUAAAGCUCUUUUGUCAGGGAAGAAACGGUGGGAGCUAAUAUCUCCCGCUAAUGACGGUACCUGAAGAAUAAGCACCGGCUAACUACGUGCCAGCAGCCGCGGUAAUACGUAGGGUGCAAGCGUUAAUCGGAAUUACUGGGCGUAAAAGCGUGCGCAGGCGGUUUUGUAAGUCUGAUGUGAAAUCCCCGGGCUCAA